UACAGAGGUCUCAAGCGUUGUUCGGAUUCAUUGGGCGUAAAGGGUGCGUAGGCGGCGCGGUAAGUCGGGUGUGAAAUCUCGGGCUUAACUCCGAAACUGCAUUCGAUACUGCCGUGCUUGAGGACUGGAGAGGAGACUGGAAUUUACGGUGUAGCGGUGAAAUGCGUAGAUAUCGUAAGGAAGACCAGUGGCGAAGGCGGGUCUCUGGACAAGUUCCUGACGCUGAGGCACGAAGGCCAGGGAGCAAACGGG
rnacentral:rRNA from 1 species